AAAUUGAAGAGUUUGAUCAUGGCUCAGAUUGAACGCUGGCGGCAGGCCUAACACAUGCAAGUCGAGCGGUAGCACAGAGAGCUUGCUCUCGGGUGACGAGCGGCGGACGGGUGAGUAAUGUCUGGGAAACUGCCUGAUGGAGGGGGAUAACUACUGGAAACGGUAGCUAAUACCGCAUAACGUCGCAAGACCAAAGUGGGGGACCUUCGGGCCUCAUGCCAUCAGAUGUGCCCAGAUGGGAUUAGCUAGUAGGUGGGGUAACGGCUCACCUAGGCGACGAUCCCUAGCUGGUCUGAGAGGAUGACCAGCCACACUGGAACUGAGACACGGUCCAGACUCCUACGGGAGGCAGCAGUGGGGAAUAUUGCACAAUGGGCGCAAGCCUGAUGCAGCCAUGCCGCGUGUGUGAAGAAGGCCUUCGGGUUGUAAAGCACUUUCAGCGGGGAGGAAGGCGUUAAGGUUAAUAACCUUGACGAUUGACGUUACCCGCAGAAGAAGCACCGGCUAACUCCGUGCCAGCAGCCGCGGUAAUACGGAGGGUGCAAGCGUUAAUCGGAAUUACUGGGCGUAAAGCGCACGCAGGCGGUCUGUCAAGUCGGAUGUGAAAUCCCCGGGCUCAACCUGGGAACUGCAUUCGAAACUGGCAGGCUAGAGUCUUGUAGAGGGGGGUAGAAUUCCAGGUGUAGCGGUGAAAUGCGUAGAGAUCUGGAGGAAUACCGGUGGCGAAGGCGGCCCCCUGGACAAAGACUGACGCUCAGGUGCGAAAGCGUGGGGAGCAAACAGGAUUAGAUACCCUGGUAGUCCACGCCGUAAACGAUGUCGAUUUGGAGGUUGUGCCCUUGAGGCGUGGCUUCCGGAGCUAACGCGUUAAAUCGACCGCCUGGGGAGUACGGCCGCAAGGUUAAAACUCAAAUGAAUUGACGGGGGCCCGCACAAGCGGUGGAGCAUGUGGUUUAAUUCGAUGCAACGCGAAGAACCUUACCUGGUCUUGACAUCCACAGAACUUUCCAGAGAUGGAUUGGUGCCUUCGGGAACUGUGAGACAGGUGCUGCAUGGCUGUCGUCAGCUCGUGUUGUGAAAUGUUGGGUUAAGUCCCGCAACGAGCGCAACCCUUAUCCUUUGUUGCCAGCGGUUAGGCCGGGAACUCAAAGGAGACUGCCAGUGAUAAACUGGAGGAAGGUGGGGAUGACGUCAAGUCAUCAUGGCCCUUACGACCAGGGCUACACACGUGCUACAAUGGCAUAUACAAAGAGAAGCGACCUCGCGAGAGCAAGCGGACCUCAUAAAGUAUGUCGUAGUCCGGAUUGGAGUCUGCAACUCGACUCCAUGAAGUCGGAAUCGCUAGUAAUCGUAGAUCAGAAUGCUACGGUGAAUACGUUCCC
rnacentral:rRNA from 1 species